GACGAACCGUGCGAACGUUAUUCGGAAUCACUGGGCUUAAAGCGCGUGUAGGCGGGCCGCCGCGUCGGCUGCUGAAAUCCCCCGGCUCAACCGGGGAACGGGCACCGAUACGGGCGGCCUCGAGGGGGGUAGGGGCAUCUGGAACUGUGAGUGGAGCGGUGAAAUGCGUUGAUAUUCACAGGAACUCCGGUGGCGAAGGCGAGGUGCUGGACCCCAUCUGACGCUGAGGCGCGAAAGCCAGGGGAGCGAACGGG
rnacentral:rRNA from 1 species